rnacentral:misc_RNA from 1 species
GAUAUUUGGCUAAUAUAAAUUCUUCAUUAAAAUCGUUUGAAAUAAUUCAUAUAGCAUGUUAUUCAAAUACAACCAAACAAAAGAGACACAAGUUGAAGCCAAGCUUCACAGAAAUACAAAAUAAGCAGAUACUGUCUUUAUCAAAGACUCAAUUUCAGUUAUCACUUCUGUGUGGUUUUCCUGAGAUAAAAUUAACCUCAUCAACAGCAGAAGGAAUCCAAUCAUUAGUAGCUGGAUUCCCCUUGUAAACAUGGCUUGGAUCAGUAGUAUAAUCAGCUCCUAUAUUAAAAGUGUUCUCAUUAUUCUCCACUUUGAUAAAUCCUGUUCCUGUCGUGUGAUGCUGCUUGUCAAUGCAAUUAAGAUCUUUGUAAUAUUCUGUUUCAAUAAAUUCCUCUGUCACUUGGCUGCCAUUGUAAACCAAUUUCUGAGGAUCAUUUUCGAGACGU